GACGCUGAACUUGGUCUUGAAUGAAGCUAUGGAGUUUAUUAAAGGUAAGAAACAUGCUUAGUCAGUUUUGUAUGUAUGAGGUGAAGCUCCAUUGCAGUGUAAUAGUUUAGUCAGUCUUAGAGCAUGGUUAUUUUCCUAGAGGAUGUUUAUUUCAUUUAUAUCAGUUUAGUCACUUGUUGGUUUAUUGCCUUGAAAGCUCACAACUGAAGGAGAAUGGUUUGUAGUACAGGAUUCAAC
rnacentral:lncRNA from 1 species